rnacentral:rRNA from 1 species
UUUAUGGAGAGUUUGAUCCUGGCUCAGAGUGAACGCUGGCGGCGUGCUUAACACAUGCAAGUCGAACGAGAACGGAUUAUAGCUUGCUAUAAUUGUCAGCUAAGUGGCGCACGGGUGAGUAAUGUAUAGGUAAUAUGCCUCUUACUAAGG